rnacentral:rRNA from 1 species
UACGUAGGGGGCAAGCGUUGUCCGGAUUUAUUGGGCGUAAAGAGCGUGUAGGCGGCUUGGUAGGUCCGCUGUGAAAACUCGAGGCUCAACCUCGAGACGCCGGUGGAAACUGUCAGGCUAGAGUCCGGAAGAGGAGAGUGGAAUUCCUGGUGUAGCGGUGAAAUGCGCAGAUAUCAGGAAGAACACCCGUGGCGAAGGCGGCUCUCUGGAACGGUACUGACGCUGAGACGCGAAAGCGUGGGGAGCAAACAGG